rnacentral:rRNA from 1 species
UCAAGGUUGACCUCGGAUCAGGUAGGGAUACCCGCUGAACUUAAGCAUAUCAAUAAGCGGAGGAAAG